UGGGGAAUUUUGGACAAUGGGCGAAAGCCUGAUCCAGCAAUGCCGCGUGUGUGAAGAAGGCCUUCGGGUUGUAAAGCACUUUUGUCCGGAAAGAAAUCCUUGGCUCUAAUACAGUCGGGGGAUGACGGUACCGGAAGAAUAAGCACCGGCUAACUACGUGCCAGCAGCCGCGGUAAUACGUAGGGUGCAAGCGUUAAUCGGAAUUACUGGGCGUAAAGCGUGCGCAGGCGGUUUGCUAAGACCGAUGUGAAAUCCCCGGGCUCAACCUGGGAACUGCAUUGGUGACUGGCAGGCUAGAGUAUGGCAGAGGGGUGAUAAUGAUCCACGUGUAGCAGUGAAAUGCGUAGAGAUGUGGAGGAAUACCGAUGGCGAAGGCAGCCCCCUGGGCCAAUACUGACGCUCAUGCACGAAAGCGUGGGGAGCAAACAGGAUUAGAUAACCCUGGGUAGUCCACGCCCUAAACGAUGUCAACUAGUUGUUGGGGAUUCAUUUCCUUAG
rnacentral:rRNA from 1 species